GAUGAAGAACGUAGCGAAAUGCGAUAAGUAAUGUGAAUUGCAGAAUUUAGUGAAUCAUCGAAUCUUUGAACGCAUAUUGCGCCCGCCAGCACUCUGGCGGGCAUGCCUGUUCGAGCGUCAUUUCAACCCUCAGGCCUCGCGUCUGGCGUUGGGGCGCUGCGGCCCUCCCGCAGGCCCCCAAAUCUAGCGGCGGAUUCCCCGCGGCCCUGAGCGCAGUAGAGAGUAAAAACUUUAACGCUCCGGCGGCCGUGGCGCGGUUCUGCCUCUUUCCCAAUAGCGCCAAUAGCGCCACCCCCAAAAAAGUUGACCUCGGAUCAGGUAGGACUACCCGCUGAACUUAAGCAUAUCAAUAAGCGGAGGA
rnacentral:misc_RNA from 1 species